rnacentral:rRNA from 1 species
AUUGAACGCUGGCGGCAGGCCUAACACAUGCAAGUCGAGCGAGGGGCGGACGGGUGAGUAAUGUCUGGGAACCUGCCUGAUGGAGGGGGAUCACUGCUGGAAACGGUAGCUAAUACCGCAUUCAAUCCGAUGUGCCCAGAUGGGAUUAGCUAGGAGCUGGGGUAAUGGAUUACCUAGGCUACGAUCCCUAGCUGGUCUGAGAGGAGGACCAGCCACACGUGAACUGAGACACGGUCCAGACUCCUACGUGAGGCAGCAGUGGGGAAUAUUGCACAAUGGGCGAAAGCCUGAUCCAGCCAUGCCGCGUGUGUGAAGAAGGCCUUCGGGUUGUAAAGCACUUUCAGCAGGGAGGCGUUAUCUGCAGAAGAAGCACCGGCUAACUACGUGCCAGCAGCCGCGGUAAUUC